rnacentral:tRNA from 1 species
AAGGACUUAAGUUAAAUUAAACUAAUAACCUUCAAAGUUAUAAUCAAAAGGAACCUUUUAGGCCUUA